rnacentral:Y_RNA from 1 species
GGCUGGUCCAAGUGCAGUGAUGUUUACAAUUAAUUCAUUAUAACCAGUUAUAGAUUUCUUUGUUCCUUCUCCAAAUCCCACUGCUACUUAACUAGCCUUUA